rnacentral:lncRNA from 1 species
AUAUACAAUGCUCAAGUGCACUACAAGUUGUCAGAAAAGGAUAAAAAGAGAGGACAGAAAGCAGCAGUAAUAGCCAAAAAUUACAUGCCUUCUGCAUAAUAUAAAACACAAAACAACAAAGGUGAACAGUAAAUGGGUCAUAAAGAGAAAGGGUGCACCGACACAUCAGGGGUAAUGUUAGCAAAUUUCAGAAAGUAUGGAGUUUUUUAAGGAUGUAGUGUCCUGACAGUUAAGAACAAAUGUAGAUAGUAUAUUCCAUACUUUGACAAUUCUGAGUGGGAUUUUAUAAGCAUGUAUGGCAGAUGUUGAAUUCAAAAUGGUGAUCAAAAUUAUUGGAAAAGAUGGUGAGGAAUCUUGCAAGUUUUACUAAGUCAGCUGCUAGAUAUUGAAGCCCUGAGAUGCAAGAUGUUUAAGAUAUGCUAGGUGACUGAGGGAAGGUAUGUCUCUGAACAGCAUCAUCAUCAUUUAAUGUCCUUUUUUUUUCAUGCUGGCAUGGUUGGACAGUUUAACAGGAGCUGGUAAUGCAGGGGCUGCACCAGACUCCAUUGUCUGUUCUGGCAUGGUUUCUAUGGCUCAUUGCCCUUCUUAAAACCAACCACUUUACAGUGUGUAAUGAGUAAUUUUAAUAUGGCACCAGCACCAGUGCUUUUAAUGUGGUACCAGCACAACUAAUAUUCUGGACAAGAUGAGGGUUCAGGACUUGAGAUGAAAACUGUAAGUGUAGAUGUACUACAGCCAUUUACAGCUUUAAAUAGACAACCAGUGAUUGAUUGGCAAAGUUCUUACUGCAUGAUGUUACAUUUAUACCUGAGAAUGAGUUUGCUGAGCUAUUGGAAUCUUUAGUUAUGUUGGAUGUAGGCAUUUUCCAAGAUGGCUAAGCUAUAUGAAAUUGCUUUAAAAAAAUGCUAUUCUAGUAAACAAAAUCAGAUAUUCAAAUAGCUUAUUUGAUUAAAUAAUGUCAUUAAAAAGGAGAAAUGUAUAUAGUUAGGUUUUUGUAUGUGCCCAUGCACAUUACACACACAUACACGUGUGUAUGUAUGUAUAUGCAAAAGAUAUGAUUUUACUUACCAUAAUAGUAAAUUUUUUUGCAAUUUAUACGUUUUAUCCAUCUUUAUAUAUAUAUUUACACUUUCUUCAUUAUUCAGUGGAGAGCAGUUAAAAAUAUCCUCUGAGGCUAAAUGCUAAUUCAAACUAUCUGAACUAUAUAGUCUAGACUUAUAUAGCUUUGAAUUUCUCAUAUUUUCUAUCAUUAAAUUGUUACUCAUCUACCAUGUUUCUUCAAACUACCUUAAAUUUAUUCCUGCUGUGUGAAUUGUAAUCAGUAUUAACUGAAAAAAAAUAUUUUACUUUUGUAAUAUACAUGUUGCUAGCUGUUUAGAAAUUUCAGAAAUCUUUAGUUUUUUUCUUGGUCACGUAAAGUGGUAUUUUCUAUUUUUAGCUAUAAAUUUGGUUUCAAAUCAAUAAGUUUACUUAUCAAGGUAAUUUUUAUUAUUGAAAAAUCAAUUUUUUUGCAGGGUUUUAAGUUUACAUUUUGAUCAGCCAGAUCAAAUCAUAUACAAGCUGUGCACUUUGAACCUCUCUGUAAAUACACUAUCCCCUUUUUUCCCUCCCAUAUACACUUUAACCCACACCUCUUCUUCAUAUGCAGUGGGAUUUAGCAUUUACUUAUUCAAACCUUUGACUGAAUUCCAAGACAAUCUAGCUUUCUUCUUUUAUUGUCAUACACAUGGGUUUAUCAAACAUUCUCUACUAUUAACUUUUCUUUGUUUAUAAACGAUUCAUCAUAUCCUUGAAUAGCCCAUCUUAACACAUAAUGAUGUUUCCUUUUCUUCUUUGUUGAUGACUUGUCACAUGACAGAUGAUUAUAAAGCUAAUCCUGUUGUCAAUGAUUAGAUAUUCGACAAAUGAGAUUGUUGUUGAUUCCUUGUCUUGAUGUUGUCAUUGGUGACAUUCUUUUUUUUUCUCCCUUGAGGUCAUACAUCUUUCUCAAAGUGGGAGAUACACUCUGAAGUGAUUCCAUACUGAGACAACUAUUCAGUUGUGAGUCAGGAAGUUUGCAGCAUGCCUUCAUUGCUUUUUUAAUGUGCUCUUUGUACCUCACUUUUACAACACACAGAAUUGUUUUCAAGAUAGCCCGUAAGAGAUCUCGUCCCUCCAUAUUACCCCCAAAAGUAUUGGAGGGAGUGGAUGUAAAAUAAAUCAAGAAUCUUGACAUGUCAAUGAUAGAGUCCAAGUUUCACAGCCACUCAAAAAAAUUCAAAUGCAAACUACUCUAUAUUCCCAGCGUUGUGUGCAGUCAGAGGCCCUAAUUAUAAAAUAGUUCUUUUAUAAUGCCGAGGAAGAAAACGUGGAGUUUUGAAUUUCUUCAUAUACAUGUUCCCAAACUGACAACGAUACUUCCAAGUGAUGUGAUGUGCAUUUUGAAGCAAAGUAUCAUCAAUGAACAAUUGCACAGAAUUUGUUUUUCCUCAGGUACUUGCAGCAUUGACUUCAGUUUUUUUUUUUCUUUUUAACAAUUAAUUUUUAAUUCUGACACAUUGGUAAGUAUUUGAUGCUGAUAUUAUACUAUUCUAAAGCAAUUGUAGCUGAUAUGGAACAGCAGCUGAAUCACCCAUAUACUGGAGUUCAAACAGUGUUUUGAACCUUACUUUAACUCUACGGAGAUUACUAAAAACACCAUCUGAACAAUAACAGAUUCGAAUACCAUCAACUGAAUUGAUAUCUACUUGUGAGAAGAGUGGCAAUGAAUUAUAAACAUGUUGAAGGGCACAGAGACAAGAACACAAACUUGCUUCACUCUAACAUUAGCAUCAAAUGUUUUGGAUUCUUUCAAAUAUUAUCCAAGUUCACAUCCUUUCUUGAAACUGUCACAGAAGUCAGAGGAAUUUUGGUGGAUAACCACAUCCCUGUAAAACACAUCACAAAAUAUUUCUGUUGACUAUGAGAAGCUUUGGUAAGGUCUAUAAAGGCAAAGUACAUAUCUCAUUGUCAUUUUCAAUGAUUCAUGACAAAGAGACAAGAAAUGAAUAUAUCAGCUGUGUUUUGACUCAAAACUUACAGUGAAACUUUAGAAAAUCUCUGAACAGUGUUGAAAAAUUUUCCCCUCUAAUUCCAAGAUUUUUUUCUGCCACAUCAAAAAAAAAAGAGAUAUAUCUUGACUGUUUCUAAUAUCAGCUCUCUCUUAUAUACAGCGACACUGUUAGUGCAUUUCCAACAUAAAAGAAUUAUAGAGUUCUUUUAACAUAUAGUAAUAAUUUCAUUAAUUCUGGUUACUAAACUUACACUGCCAUAUUUGUAAAUUUCAUUUGGAAUAUUAUGUGUCAGGGAAUUUUCAGUUUUCCAGGUUUUGAAUUGCUGUCUGUAUUUCAUUUAGUAUUGGAUCAAAGAAAAUUUCAAGGAGUUUUUCACUUGUAGAUUGUUGGUAGAAUUACCCCAUAUUGAAUAGGAAACAGAAGUGCUCACCUCAUCAUUCAAGAAUUUACCCCUCAUUUUUUAUUAAGAUUUGUUCAUUAUAAGAGUAUAAAAGUGUACCAAGUCAACUGUGCACAGCUAAGGUCCAUUUACUGUUUUAAGCACAUUGUAGAACUUGUUCUUUAUUAGUGAUUGGGUUACAUAUGACAUAGUCUGUCAAUUUCAUUUUGUAACAUGUUGUAACAUGUUUUGUAUCAACAUUUGGUACAAGUUCUGGAGUAUUAAGAUUUUCCACCAUGCUAAUUUUGAGAAAUUGUAUUUUGUAACACAUUAUUAGAAUCUUGCUUCUUUUUUCAGCAAUUAUCCUUUGUGCAUGCAAUUUUAGAUAAUUUAGUACUCUAGUAAUAUUUUGCUAGGAUAGUUUACAACCUAUUAUUGUUUUGUUGAUUUUUCAAAUGUUUUAUUGCUUCCCCACUACUUUACUUUUAAGAAUAUAUGGCUCUAAACCUUCUUCUGGUCUUUCUUAUCCCAGAGUGUACAUAAUGUUAAAUCUCUUCUAAUGGAAUACUAAUAUAGUCCCUUCACAUAUUGUCCAUCUUUCCUCAGUUCAUGUUCUAUAUAUCAGCAUGUUAUUAUUUUUGUCUUCAAUGAAACUAUUCUCUAUUUAGCCCAUCUUUGGCAAUUUGGUAUGUCCAUUUCCAUCUGAUUUCUGUUAAACCCUUCUUGCAGGGUUCUAGAAAGGUUUCAAUGCUUGUAAAACAGAUAAUUGAAAUGAAAACCAAGGUCUGGAGAGGAGCACUGUAAAAGUGUGACAUUUCAUAGUAAUUGAUUGGAACACUGAGACAACUAUGCAAGAAAAGUAUUUGGUGCAGUUCUGGAAGACAAGGAAAUAAUGCAAAGAUGAAGCAAAUGUUGAACUGGGACAAAGCUGCUGCCUAUUAUAACCAGGACUUUUCAACAUAUUUCUUGAACAAAUCCUGACUGGUACCCAAGAAGAUUCUGAAGGCACAGGAUUGGCAGAAGAUUAAUUGCACCCUUAAGAUUUCCAGACAAUGUUGAUCUGUUAGCCUGUCCUAAAAGUGAAUUAUUUGAUAUUAGGAGAUUAGAUAUUUAUUCAAGAAAUAUGGUGAGGAGAAUUUGGGUUAUGGGGAUGAAAGAACUGAGAUACAGACGUGAAUUGAAAUAGAACAAUUAGCGAUCAAAGAUCUGGAACAGCAAAAACAUUACAAUGAGUAACAAGCUAUGGCUAAUACAAUCUAUGAUAAGUGCAAUUGUUUUGUAUGGAUGGGAGACAUAGACAUGCUCAAAUAGCAUGGAGAACCCAUGCCAGCAUGGAAAAUAGAUGCUAAAUAAUGACAACGAUGAAAUUGUCAGUAUUCAAGAUGAGGUGCUUUCAGAAUUGUUGGCAUUACUUAACAGGAAUCGCAGACAAACCAGUCAGUCUUAGAAUAACUUAAUGCAUUAAUUAGGUAAAAAGAAAGACUGACAGAAAUAGCAUGUCAAAGAAAAAUGCAGUAUUUCAGUCACAAUAGUAAAAUGACUAGGUUGCUUGCAAAUAUAAUCAUGUCUGGAAAAAUAGAUGGCAAAAGGAAAGACUAGCUCAAUGAUAUUCAGAUAUGAACUGGAAUAAGAACAUCAGAUUGCAUAAAAACAGCCCAAAAUCAAGAAUGAUGGAAAAGGUUAAGAAAAGAUAUUCAAAGACCUCAAUAGUGAAUAUAUGGUAAUGUUUUGACUUGAUUUGACUAAUAUUUUGAUUAGCUAAUGAAGCAGUGUUAAAGUGUUUCAUGUGCUGAAUGUAGAAUGAACUGAAAUGCACAUUUUUUAACAUAUCAUCUGAUAAUCCAUCAAGCAUCGAGCCCUCUACAUGGUCUAAAUCAUUAGACUGUCCUGAAAGUCCCUUUAUCAAAUAAUAAUGUAACCAAAAGAUGAUCACUUCUUAUAUCAAUCUGCCUCCACAAUGUUUUGUACAUAUAUUCUUGAUAAAAUGUUUGUGAUAUACAAUUUAUUCUCUGAGUAGAAAGUGAGAAAACACAGGUAAUUUUAGAUCAUUUUACUAACCCUUUGUUUAUUUAUUGAAUUGAAGUCACCAAAAUGAGUUUUCAAAGUUGGCUCUGUAAAACUUAUCUUUUACCUUUCUGUUGGUACUUAAGGUUGAUUCCUAAAAACUGUAGAUAGUUAUAAACUUGGUUCUUAGACAGAAGAAUAUGUAAUGUUGUUAUACAUUCAUUUAUUCCUAGAGGGGUAUCAAGGAGGGUGUGAAAAAUUAGGUUCUUGAUUGUAUUGUUAACACCAUGAAUUGCUGGUAGAUUAGUUCACCAUUUAAAAAAUAGUGUAACUACUGCAAUUUAUCUGGCUUUCAUAGUUUCAGGACUGCUGAAAGAUAUGACUGAGAUCAGCUUCUGAGUCAUGUGAAAUCAGAGCAAGCAUUCUUUUAGCCCACAUUUACUAGGUCCCUUUAUAUGUGCUAUCCUUAAAUAAAGUUGUUUACCACAUAGGUAUGACUGGAAGAUGUCUUUGCUCUGAGGACAGAAUUCAAUGACCAUUUAGUCCAUGUGUAUUAUAUUGUAGGACAAUUUCCAACCAAUGUCCUGAGCCUGAUCCUAUUGUGAGCAUUCCAUCAACAAAGGACUUUAUGUAGAUAAUCGGAAGAGCCUGCACAAUGAGCUGUUUGAGGUAUUGAAGCUGGGCAAGCUUCAGCAUAGAAUUGAACUCCUAAUAACUGUUCUCAAAAUGAUAGGUAUCUCAUGUUUGUUGGAGUGAGCUGCUAGACACCUUAUAUAUUGAGGUACACUUUGAAGUUAUUAUUUUGUGUCAAAAUAGAUCUGUAAGCCAGUCCACCUGGCCCACUGAUACUCAUUGUAAGAGCCAUAUGGCUAAGACUGUGAGGCAUUGAUAUACUUGCUACAUGAACCACAGACAUAUUUCUAUUCUUGCACCACCUUGCAAACAUUUCAGGUAAGGGAGUUCUAUUGAGUGUCAGAAAUUGGAGCUGAUUAUAUUUGCCUGUAUUUUCAACCUUAUAUCCAUUUUGUUUUUACAGAACAUGUCAUCAUAAUGUCAUAGUAAAAGAAAACUUGCUAAUGUAUUUAAAAAACAAAAUCACUGUAUAAAAUCUUCUUAAUUUCUAUAACUUUCACACAUGUUAUGUUAGUCUUACAUUCACAUACAAACCAGAUUAUGAAUUAUUAUUAAUGUCUCUUUUACCACUCUUGAACUCAACAAUACUGUAAUUUUAUCUCUCUAACAUAAUUCCUUUGCUUCUUUUACAAAUUCCCCAUACACCCAGCCUUCAAAAAUGAUUUGUUUUAUACAUUUAUUAAAUCUGUUGUUCUAUCAUUUACCUCUUAACUCUUUCAUAGCAAUAUUUUUAUCUCUAUACAUCUUUUAUCUUUUACUUGUUUCAGUCAUUGAACUGUGGCCAUGUUGAUGCACUGACUUGAAGGGUUUAGUCAAAUAAAUUGACCUUGGUACUUAUCUAUGAGUUUGGUACUUUUCACUGAAAUUAUUUAUAGGGAUGUAAACCAACAUCAGUUGUAAAAAAAAACACAUACAGAUAUAUAUGAUGAGUGUCUUUCAGUCUAACAAAUUCAGUUACAAAGCUUUGGUGGUCAGCCCAAGGCUAUAGUAGAAGACAUUUGUCCAACGUGCCACACAGUGGAACUGAACCCAAAACCAAAUCAAGAACUUGGAUGGCUGUAGUAAAAUAACAAACUUUAUCAUUAUUAAGUUGGUGCCUGGAAUGUAGCAUAAAAUUAUAAUGGAAUAUGAACAUUAUAGGUUCACAUAGUAAAAUGAACAGUCCUGUCAGAAACAGAGGCAAUCUCAGGUGGGUUGGUUUCUGUAUUGAUUGUAACUAUCUGAGGUAUAGUCAUUUGAUAGCUUUCUUUCAGUAAGAAUUAAUGAUUUGUUCUUAGCUUUGACUUAAUAUUUUUGAACUCCAUUUGUUAUUUUCUUCUUUUUGUUUCUUUAACUACUUUAUUUUAACCGACCUUCAAAACUUGCACUUUACGAAUUGAGAUAAAAAUUUAUAUUUAAUUUUAAAAUAUUUGAACAAGAAUGUUACUUCUUAACCUUUAUUGAUCAUAAUUUCUUAUCAUAGUAUGUUCCAUGUUUAUCCAAUUUAACAUUGUCAUGAAGUUCACAACUUAAAUGUGUGCAUGUGAAAAUAACUAUAAUAUACUUUGCAAACUAUUUUAUUAUAAUAAACAUUUAACAUACUUUUAGGAAAUUAUUCUCUGAUAAGGGUUAAGUUUCCUUGAUACUGGAGCUAUUAUAUUUCUUGUGUUUUGUAAAAUUUAAUUUUAUUAGUCAACCUUAAAUUGGAAAGGUUAUAUUUAGCCCAUCUUUAAUCCGAAAGGUUAUAUUUAGAUAUUUUAAUAAAAUAUAUUUUUGUUCUCUUCUCUAAAAAUAUCACACACAUACACUCAAAUACAUUAAAAAUAUUUAAUUCAUAUCUCAGAUGAAAAUAAAAAAAAUAAAUUACUGGAAUGCAAUGAAUUUAAGUUUGUGUAACAUAUCAAAUCUAAUAAUAUAACCAUAACUGCUAUCAGCGCAUUUGUGUGUUCUGUAACUGUUAAAUGUCAACAGCUAUUGAUAUAAAUUGUUUUCCUUAGUGGAAUAUGAAUUUCUCUUUAUGUUAGUCUACAUUUAUAUAGUAACUAUAAACAACAUACAAAGAGAACUUCAUAUACUUUUGAACUCUAAUUUAAGUACAAUAAUUGAAAUUCAACCUGCCAUGAUCUCUAGGGAUAACAUUCUGCAGUUUAAUAAUUUAUGAAUCUGCACCACUACAUUUACCCAGAAGCAUAUAUUUUGGAUACUAAUUAAAUUACAAUAGAAACUUUUUCAAUUAUGUAUAGAGCAUUUAAUGAAAGUAUUUUCUAUUUCAGUCUUAACUGGCAUAGUUUUUCAUAAUAGAUUCUGUAAGGACAACUACUCUAAUAUCUAUGAAAAUCUCACUAAGUUUAUUUUAAGAUGGUAUAAAGAUAGCUACUUUGAAGGUAAACUCAUCUUUAAAAACUACCUCUGGUAUAUUGUCCAUUUAUAUAUCUUCUCUGUGCCACUUGUGUUGCUACUAGACUGUUCUUCAAAACUUUUUGCAUAACUUGUAUUUUGACUGUCUCAUUCAAACGUACAUUUCCUAUUCCAUCUUGGAACUCUCUUCGUAAAAUCUAUACAAAACACUUUAUCAUGCAGUAGCAAUGAUCCGGAAUUGCCUUUCUCACAUUAAACCCUAUGACAUUGAUUAUAUUUACAUCUUACACCUCUAGUCCAUAACAAGAUUGUUUGAUUUCAAAGGACUUACUUUAUAGAUAUAUUUUACAUAACCAAGGUGGCUAUGCAUACAAGUAAGAAUGAUACACAAUUUUAUUCAUGUCUUCUUAACUCAAUAUCAUAAAAACCUCACAUAAUUCUUUGAACUUACUAGCAAUAUUUUUUUAGCCUUACCAAUUGCUCAAAAAGAAUAUCUCUAACUUAUGUAAGUCCUUCAUUAUUUCCAACUAGCAAUUGCAAUAUAUUCUUUAAAUAGCUUCCGUAUCAAUUUCUAUCACUUUUUCCUAUGUUCUCCUCCUGUUAUAUAUCCUUGUGCUAAGUUAACUUUCAAUUCUGUUCACUUUUAUUUUAACCUUCACUUUGUAGGGUUGAUUAUUUAACCCAAAGAACAUGGUUUUGGAUAUGUUUGUAUUGUCAAAGGGGAAGAGGAAUCUAACAUCUCAGGACUGACCAUUCAUUUGUGAGAAAAUAAAUUUUCCAACUAGUUGAUAAAUUUAUUUUGUACCAAAUGAAGUGUCAGCCCUGAAAUGAUAUAUUCCCACCUCUGCCCAUGACAUAAACUUAUUCAAAGUCAUGUACUUCAUUUCAAAAGUUUUGUCAAUGCAGACCACCACCAGUUACUUUGGACUUUAUUAUGCAUUUAAACUAAAGUAAUUUUUGAUACCUACAUAUAUGUCUUUUCAUUAAAAAAUGCUUAUUUAGAUCCAUUUCUAGUAUUUUUAUCUCAAGUAUAAUUAUGACAAAUUUGGGAAAAAAACCCACCUUCAUCCAUUAACAUACUGAAGCUAUUUAUCAUCUUGUCUGAUUUAUAUCUAUGUCCCCACACAUAUGGACUCCAUGUCCACAUACUGAAAUCCCAGGCAACAUUUGACAACUGACUUUGUUUUAUUUAAUGUGUAUUCUAUCAUGAAAAAGAAAGGCUUUCUAGCAAUUCCAAUUUACUAAAAAAUUUGAACUUUUUAGCUAAUAUCCGUUUUAAAGUUCAAAGAUUCAUUGAAUAUUAAAAUGAAAUCUUGUUCUUUUGUGAAUAGGUAUACAUUUUUCUUAUCAAAUCUAUAGUUUACAUUUGAUCCGCUUAAACAAUAUGUUACUCUUUUACUUGUUUCAGUCAUUUGACUGUGGCCAUGCUGGAGCACCGCCUAUAGUCGAGCAAAUCAACCCCAGAUUUAUUCUUUGGAAGCCUAGUACUUAUUCUAUCGGUCUCUUUUGCUGAACUACUAAGUCAUGGGGAUGUAAACACACCAGCAUCAGUUGUCAAGUGAUGUUGGGAGGACAAACACAGACACACAAACACACAUAUAUAUAUAGAUAUACAUGAUGGGUUUCUUUCAGUUUCUGUCGACCAAAUCCACUCACAAGGCUUUGGUUGGCCCGAGGUUGACAAUCUAAACCUUUCUGAAGCUCUUUUUAUAGUAUAUACACUAACUUCUUAGUUGAUAUGCAUUGCAACAUUUUGCUUUUGUUAGGAAAAUGUGAGAGUUUACUGCUACUACAAAUAUAAUUAUCAAUUUAAUUAUAGGCAGUGAAGUUGAUGAACAGAAGUGCUGAAGUAAAAGAAUUUUUAUUUGUUUCACAAAAUUUACAUUCUGCCAAAGUCAAUUUUACCUUCCAGCUCCUUACGGUUGAUUAAGUAAAUACCAAUCUAUACUGAGGUCAAUUUAAUCAACUAGACCUCUGUACCCACUCCACAAACACACACACUUAAAAUAAAUGUCAUUUACAAAUAAUAAAUAGAGCCAGAAUGUAUCAGACAUUAAACAGAUAUUGAACUAGACUAUAUGCAGUAGAAAAAUAAAAUAGAUCCUUUACUGUUAACCUCCUUUGCUGUUUGUACAAGAGACAUUGGUAGAUAUGGUGAAAUAAAAUUUAGGUUAAGAGUAAUAAAUGUAUAAUUUCAAAAUUAUUCAAUUGUACAGUAACAAUUUUAUUAAUAAGUUCUUUGAUUUCUAAUUUUCCCACAUUUUAGUAUAAAAUCCACUAUUACAGUGAGUCAUUUUUGAAAUAAAAAAGGUGACCUAUAAAUUAUUCAAAAUAUCAUACAUAGCACAUGUACCUCCCACACAUGCAUAUGUACACAAAUGCACAUAUCCAGAAUUAUAUUUAUUAAAUAUUAAUUAUCACUGUUCCCUUGGUUAUUGUUCUUUCAUCUCCAAUAAAAAAAAUGUUAAUAUCAUUUUCUGUAUUCCAAUUUGAGAACAUUAUCUAAUUAACUAAAUUACUUUCCCCUUAUGUUUCCUCAAAUGUUCCUUUCAUCUAUUAAGUUCUAAUAAUAAAUUCUUCAUUCUCAUUUCAUGACAUCUGAAAACUCUGUAAACAAUAGUACAAUUAAAGCUAAAACUGCCUGUCUAAUGUCAGACACUAUACCUCCUGUACAAUUUUUUAAGGUUAAUUACUAGCCAUUGUUUUACACCUUGCAUAAAUUUCUGUUAGAACCAGUUCUAACAAUAAAUAAUGAACCAAAUUUUUAUAAGCAUCAGUUGAUGUGUUGUAAGGAUUAUUUUCUCCGUAAUUUUAUACAUUGGCCUCAAUCUGUAUUCCCUUGUUGAAUAUCAUCAUAAAACGCCUUCCUGUUCCUACCCAUCUCAAACUCUUUACGCACCUUCAACAGACAGCCUUUAUUUCUAAACAUUUAUUCUCCUUCUCGGUGCUUCUGUUAUCUUCUCAACCAUCUUUUCUUAUACCUUGAUCACAUCUUUCAGCCAAAAAAUAAUCAUAAAAAAUAUAAAAAAAAAAAAAAUGUAAAAGGAUAAAACAUUAUUGUGUCUUUGAUGAAAGCAUUGUAUUUUUGUAUCUUUGAAA